ensembl:lncRNA
GCCCAAACAGUGGAUGUGAGCAUAGUAAGGUGGUGGGAAGUGCAUUUCAAAAAUGGUGAUGAAGUUAUGAAAGAAAGCUUAAUCAGAGCUUCAUCAAUGAAAAAGGACUGGGAUAAUCUCUAAAGGAUAAUAUAGAGAAAAGAAAGCAUGGACUGUAACACAGCAAGGUAGACUUGGUCUGAGUUCUGACAUCUUGACAAAGAAAGCAGAAUGACUCUAAGUAUGUUCAAGUAUAUUUUAGUGCCUUUGUGAGUGCGUCUUGCAGCUGAGAUACAUUGUUUCUAGUCAAACAUGAGGAUUAGUCUCUAGAUUUUCUAUAGACCUCCUUUUCAUGCAUGCUUUCACCAAGUCUGUUUCCAAGACUUUUUUUUUUAACUGAGAGGUUUGGUGCCUUGAGGAACUGUCAUAAGAUGGAUAUAGUUGUUUUUCAUGUAUUACUAAUCUUGCUACAUUAGAAAUACCCAAAUAUAAUUUUUAAACAUUUUGAACCAAAAAAUAGGCAAAGCUCAGUGUAAAACUUUCAGAUGUCAACUUUGCACCAAAUUUUUUGCCUCUUGUGGAUGUACUCUGGAUCUUGAUGUGAUUGCUUAUGUUUUAUAGGAGUAUAUGUUGAUUACAUACUACCUUUUGUAAUGAAUUUUCUUCUAAGAUCUUAAAAAAAAAAAAUUACAUUAGAAUUGGGUUGUACAAAUCUUGCUCUUUUCCAUAACACUGCAAAAACAAUUUGAUUGUAUAAAUGUUGUAGUUUACUAUUUUCUAGUUUCUAUUAGAUGUCUUGUAUCUUGAGGUUGUCCUUUAAUGUCUGCUUCUUCUUCCCCUGUACCCAGCCAACCUUCAUAUGUACUUCUUACAGCUACUUUUCAGUCCUCAUGUUAAUUCAUAUUUACAUGUUGAAGUUGGCUAACCUUUUCCAUUUGCUAACUUGCUAACCAUCCAGCAGCUCUCAUUGGAUUCUGAGUAAUCAAGUCUUCAAAAAGAUCAGUUUACAUCUCUUACAUCCUGUGAAUAUAGAUUUAAGAAGUUGAAUUCUGAAAACCUUCACAAACACAUACAUUGAAGGUUUUGAGACAGAAAAAGGUUUUCCAAAAGCAUCUGUUUUCUGGGUUGUUUUCAAGAGGUCCUCUCCUGACCCAACACUCUGUUCAUGUAUGCUUCAGUUACUGCAAAUACUGUGUAAAGUUUUACUGCAAACUCUUCUGCUGUGUAUAAUACCUGAAGUAAGAAGCAGGAUUUUGCUGUUAAAUUCAUAAAACUUUUAUGUAAGAGGAAAAAGUAGACUGCCAGUAUAAAGAAAUGGUGUUAGGGGUGAGCAUUGUGUGCUUGUAAGCUAUGCAAGAUGCAUGUGGUCUGUUGCAAUGAGUUCACAGAGCCCUGAGCUAGUGCUGCUCCUGCCAGAACAUCUGUUCUGGCUGGGAGCAUCUAUAAGAAAUGCAACUACCCUGUUCGUCACAAGGUCAAACAUGCUUUCUUAAACCAAAAUGAUUUUUGACAAGAUGGAACACAAUUUGACCAGUUGUUGUACACUGAAAUUUUAAAUUAUGCACAUACUGUGUAUGACAGAUUUAUUUGAAG